GUGCUGCCGAGCGAGGAGCGCACGCGCUCGGUGUCUCCAUCUGCUGGUUGUGUGGUCUGUAUUUUACGGCUGGAUUAAAACAUAAGUGACAUCUAGAGGACAGGAAGUUAAAAACCAUCUGCAUCAUUUUUAAAUACCGUACCUGCAUGUUCCAUAUAAAGAAUUGAUGUUGCUGAGACAUUUCUGAGUUGGUUUUAAGCUCCAUCAUCAACAUAAUAAAUGACUAUUUCUUUUGUAACCAUAAGCACCAUAGCUCUGAAUGGGCAAGACAGAUGGUGUCACUAUUAAACUACCAAAACCUAAGAAAACAGAUGCAAUAUAGAGUACUUUACACUACAUAGGACAAAAGAGUGAAAGCGGAAGUAAAUGAAAACUGCUACAAAGCCAUGAAAUCAAGGAAGCUGCCAACAAAAGAUCAUUUAAGAAAGAAAAAAAUGAUAUACCCAAAGGAUUAUAAAUCAUUCUAAA